rnacentral:lncRNA from 1 species
ACCUUGAAUAAACUUAACCCAUUACUAUGCAGACUAUAAUGCAGGCAUUUUAAUCUUGGAUCCUGUCCAAGGUGAUCCAUUAUUGGACGAAGUGGGAGAAUCUCAUUCAGAGACAGUUUCACCUAAAAUGUGAUCCGUGACCAUGGACUUAGGAUUACAGAAAAGCUCCAAUAUGGUUUUAAGUAAAAGGUAGAGGGCUCUUGUUUCCCCCUCUGUUCGCUGUGAGUGAUGAGUAGCCUGGACGGUUCUUCUUUUGAAAAAUCACUGUUUUGUUUGGCUCACACCCACAGAGGCACUCAGCUCUGCAAUAGGACAAAGACACAUUUUAGAAAGUAAGAGGCCGGGUGCACGCCUUUAAUCCCGGCACUUGGGAGGCAGAGGCAGGAGGAUUUCUGACUUUGAGGCCAGCCUGGUCUACAGAGUGAGUUCCAGGACAGCCAGGACUACACAGAGAAACCUGUCAUGAAAAACCAAAACAACAACAACAACAAAAAAACCCCAAAAACAAAAAAACAAAAAACAAAAAAAACACAACCCCCCCCCAAAACCAAAGAAACAAAACAAAACAAAAACCAAACGAACAAACAGUAAGAGACCUUAGUAUGCAGUUGAUUAUCUUGUUAUUUGAAUUCAACUGGAUCAAUAUUUAAUUUUAGUUGUGGAAGGUGAGGCCAAGCAUUCAGAAAUAUCUUCAAAUUUCUUUGCAUAAUAAAAAGAUCUCUCUUAAUUUAUUUACAGUUUAAUUCAGGAAACGUAACUCGAAGGAGAGUGUAGAUAAGGUUGGGGCAGGGUGUUCCUCUGGUGACGACAUGCAGCUAGUUAGUAGAUGGAUAAUCUUAGUUUGUGAAUCUUCAUGGUCAGAACCAGAAUUUCAGCACAUUUUAGAAAUUCCUUCUCCACCAAAG